GACUCACAUUACAUGUCGAAUCUAUUAAUAACAUUAAUAUAGUCGAGAGUUGAAUUGAUUUUAAAAACAUUGAAAUUAAGAACUAUAGUGACUUUUAUUUUGUCUCUGAUCAUAAAUAUACUUCUGGAACUGAGAGUUCUAUUCUAGACUCUGAGGUUCCUGUGAGUGAUGAUAAUGAAAAUCUUCAUGACGUACUUGUUACAUAACGUCUGAGUACUUGGUACAGAGAUUGCCAAAUGGGUUUUAAAACACAGAAUAACUAGAAAUGCAAGUGACGAAUUGUUAACCAUUUACACCAGUAUAGUUAUAAUGUUGAUUUACCAAAAUGUACAAGGAAAAUUUUAAAUACUCUUAGGAAUAUUCCAAGCAAGUUAAAAUGUGGGGGUAAAUAUGUUUACCUUGGUAUUUCAAAUGACAAAUCAAGAACUUUAGCAAUCAACCAGCAUUACAGAUUUGAGUCAAAUACAAUUUCUUUAGUUCUCAAUGUAGAUAGCAUUCCCUUAUUAAAGUCAUCAAACACACAGGUUUGGCCUAUAUUAUGUAUGUUUGACAAAGUGACACCAUUUACUGUAGCAUUAUUUGUUAGUGUUAUCAAGCCAAAUAAUUGUAGUGAUUUUUAAUAUGAUUUUUUGCAUGAGUAUGAGUUAUUAUUUGCAAAUGGUUUUUAGUAUUAUAUAUAUAACUUCAAUUAAUUCUUGAGAAAAGGUGUUCCUAAUGUGCCAUUAAAGAAUCAGAAAGUGUAAGCAUAACCAUUUUUAAAAAGAUAGAGUCCCUUGAGGAAUUUUAUGAGCUUGAAACCAGAUUAAAAGACAGCGGGGAGAACAUUUUGUCACCUCAUAAAAGCAGGUGGAAAAAUGUUAAAGAAAAUACAAAAAAUGUUAUGAUCAGAAUUAUGGAGCAUCAUGUUAAGCCCAAGUUCAAUAUGAAAAGCAAAAUUCGUGGUGAUAUAAAGAAGGUAUUAUUCGAAAAUAAGUUGCUUAAAGCAAUAAUUUUGAAGUCAUCCAGGUAACGCACGAGAGUUCGACGGAACCAAACAAAAGAUCAAAUAGGAAGCAUUUUAAAGUUUUCUCCAUUAAACAAUUAUUUAUUUUUGAGUUUUUUUGUAAAUUUAAAAUACAAAAGA
rnacentral:lncRNA from 1 species